GGGCCCGUGGUCUAGUUUGGAUUAGGACGUUGGCCUGCGGAGCCGAAGGUCCUGGGUUCAAAUCCCAGCGGGCCCGCCA
rnacentral:tRNA from 1 species